GGAGGUUGUUAAAAAGGGGUACAAAAAUGCAGUAGUUGGAAGGGAUGUAGAAUCAAGCAACUUUUAAAGAUGAAGAUACGACAUAUUUAAAUGCUGAUAGAAAUAAUCUACCUUUUCCACCCCCAAGCACUGCUGGGCCUGCAGGUCUCUGUCAAGCCAUGGAUGUGAGUCUCUGUUGCACAGGAUGGGGUUUGUUAAAGUUGUUAAGAAUAAGACCUACUUUAAGAGAUACCAAGUGAAAUUUAGAAGACAAGGAGAGGGUAAAGCUGAUCACUAUGCUCGAAAACACCUGACGAUACAGGAUAAAAAUAAAUACACCCAAAUACAGGAUGAUAGUUCAUGUAGCAGAGAUAUCAUUUGUCAGAUUGCUGAUGCCCGUAUAAAGGGGAUAUGAGAGUCUGUGCAGCACGUGCACAUGAACUGCCAAAAUGCGGUGUGAAGGUUGGCCUGACAAACUCUGCUACAGCGUACUGUACUGGCCUGCUGCUGGCCUGCAGGCUUCUCAACAGGUUUGGCCUGGACAAGAUCUAUGAAGGCCAAGUGGAGGUGACUGGUGAAGAAUACCACGUGGAAAGCGCUGAUGGUCAGCCAGGUGCCUUUACCUGCUAUCUGGAUGCAGGCCUUGCCAGGACUACCACUGGCAAUAAAAUUUUUGGCACCCUGAAUGGAGCUGUGGAUGGAGGCUUGUCUAUCCCUCACAGUGCCAAACGAUUCCCUGGUUAUGAUUCUGAAAGCAAGGAAUUUAAUGCAGAAGUACACCGGAAGCACGCCAUGGACCGGAAUGUUGCAGAUGACAGGCACUACUUAAUGAAGAAGAUGAAGAUGCUUACAAGAAACAGUUCUCUCAAUACAUAAAGAACAGCGUAACUCCAGACAUGAUGGAGAAGAUGUAUAAGAAAGCUCAUGCUGCUUUACGAGAGAAUCCAGUUUAUGAAAAGAAGCCCAAGAAAGAAGUUAAAAAGAAGAGGUGGAACCGUCCCAAAAUGUCCCUUGCUCAGAAGAAAGAUCGGGUAGCUCAAAAGAAGGCGAGCUUCUUCAGAGCUCAGGAGCGGGCUGCUGAGAGCUAAACCGAACAAUUUUCUAUGAGGAUUUUCCAGGUAAAGACAAUAAACUUAUAGAC